rnacentral:misc_RNA from 1 species
GUGAAUCAUCAAAUUUUUGAACGCAAAUUGCACUCUCCUCUGAGAGUAUGCCUGUUUGAGGGUCAGCCUAUAAAAAAUCGACAUCGUUGCUGUUUCGCGGUGACGUUCGUCUGGCAGUGGGUCAUCUUAAAUCCUUUUGGUUUUAAGCGACUUAAAAUUUUCUUUUUGGUUCCAUGAACGUUUCUAAGAUUUAUUUCUUUACACGUUUAAGGGUAUCGAUUUUUAUUAGACUUGACCAUCUUAUCGGAUCGCGUCCAUAAUCUUUCAUUAACUGACCUCAGACAGGUAGUAGUACCCG